GUGCCAGCCGCCGCGGUAAUACCGGCAGCCCGAGUGAUGGCCGAUCUUAUUGGGCCUAAAGCGUCCGUAGCUGGCUGCGCAAGUCCGUCGGGAAAUCCACUCGCCCAACGAGUGGGCGUCCGACGGAAACUGCACAACUUGGGACCGGAAGGCUCGAAGGGUACGUUCGGGGUAGGAGUGAAAUCCCAUAAUCCCGCACGGACCACCGAUGGCGAAAGCACUUCGAGAAAACGGAUCCGACAGUGAGGGACGAAAGCCAGGGUCUCCAACCGGAUUAGAAACCCCAGUAGUCC
rnacentral:rRNA from 1 species